AUCAUCAUGAUGCACUGUUAUGGCGCCCUCUAUAGGCAACCCAGCUCUUCUAAUUUAAAAGUUGCUGCAUUUGUGAUGAUUUUCAUCUUGACUGGGGAUGGUUUUUCCAGCAUCAUUUGUUAGACUAUUCUUACCUCCAUGGUGAUUCUUGGCGCCAUUGUCAAAGGCCAGCUGACUGUAUAUGUAUAUGUCACCGUGAGAUUCCCUAUGCAGAGGCCCAUGUGGCAACAAACUGAUGUGUCCUUCCAACAACCAGGCCUGAGACCUCACAAGACCCAACUGGAUCUCCCAGACAGAGCAGGCAGAACACCAUUUCUGCUGCCCCACAGCCCUCAAAGUUGUUACUCCCCGACUCUGGAAGGUUCUCAGUGACUAGAGACUGGUGCGGACCCCCAGCACAGUGUAGCCACCCCCAUGAAAACGUGGGAACCCUCAAGAGACAACUGAAAAAAUCUCUCUCACA
rnacentral:lncRNA from 10 species